AUUGAACGCUGGCGGCAGGCCUAACACAUGCAAGUCGAGCGGAUGAAGGGAGCUUGCUCCUGGAUUCAGCGGCGGACGGGUGAGUAAUGCCUAGGAAUCUGCCUGGUAGUGGGGGAUAACGUCCGGAAACGGGCGCUAAUACCGCAUACGUCCUGAGGGGGAAAGUGGGGGAUCUUCGGACCUCACGCUCUCAGAUGAGCCUAGGUCGGAUUAGCUAGUUGGUGGGGUAAAGGCCUACCAAGGCGACGAUCCGUAACUGGUCUGAGAGGAUGAUCAGUCACACUGGAACUGAGACACGGUCCAGACUCCUACGGGAGGCAGCAGUGGGGAAUAUUGGACAAUGGGCGAAAGCCUGAUCCAGCCAUGCCGCGUGUGUGAAGAAGGUCUUCGGAUUGUAAAGCACUUUAAGUUGGGAGGAAGGGCAGUAAGUUAAUACCUUGCUGUUUUGACGUUACCAACAGAAUAAGCACCGGCUAACUUCGUG
rnacentral:rRNA from 1 species